GAAGCUGUCUGCGAUCAGCGGUAGCGGCUACAGCAGCAGAUGUAGCAAUCACACUGUUUUCUUCAGGGAUGCAAAUAUUCCUCCAGCCUUUAUGGAGGAUCUGUGACGUCCAGAGGAACGAGGCCAGACUGAAGUUAUCGUCUGUAACGUAUCGGCUCUGAGGCUGAUCAGUGGGGACUGUUUUAUGGAGCAGGAAUCUCUCUGUCCUGAAUGUGAUUUACAGGACAUCAAACAUAUGUUCAGUGUGUGUGUGCAGCUAGUGUCAGAAUAUUGUAGCUUCAGUUCUUUAACACAUUUAUAAUAUUUCUAUCUGUGGAAAUGGUGCAGCUAUCUUGGAUCUGAAUAUUUGGCUUAAUAUGAACUUAAAGCUCUUAAAAUACAUAUUGUUUGAUUUCAUACAUUUAUACUUUUGUAAUUGUAUUUUUUUGACAUAUUUAAUAUUAUCUUCAUACUGAUUCCUAUUAUAACAUGAUGUAAUUUAAUAAAAUAAAUGCAUGUA